AAAUUGAAGAGUUUGAUCAUGGCUCAGAUUGAACGCUGGCGGCAGGCCUAACACAUGCAAGUCGAACGGUAACAGGAAGCGCUUGCUGCUUCGCUGACGAGUGGCGGACGGGUGAGUAAUGUCUGGGAAACUGCCUGAUGGAGGGGGAUAACUACUGGAAACGGUAGCUAAUACCGCAUAACGUCGCAAGACCAAAGAGGGGGACCUUCGGGCCUCUUGCCAUCGGAUGUGCCCAGAUGGGAUUAGCUUGUUGGUGGGGUAACGGCUCACCAAGGCGACGAUCCCUAGCUGGUCUGAGAGGAUGACCAGCCACACUGGAACUGAGACACGGUCCAGACUCCUACGGGAGGCAGCAGUGGGGAAUAUUGCACAAUGGGCGCAAGCCUGAUGCAGCCAUGCCGCGUGUAUGAAGAAGGCCUUCGGGUUGUAAAGUACUU
rnacentral:rRNA from 1 species